GUCGAACGAUGAAACCGCUUCGGUGGUGGAUUAGUGGCGAACGGGUGAGUAACACGUGGGCAAUCUGCCCUUCACUCUGGGACAAGCCCUGGAAACGGGGUCUAAUACCGGAUAACACUCUGUCCCGCAUGGGACGGGGUUGAAAGCUCCGGCGGUGAAGGAUGAGCCCGCGGCCUAUCAGCUUGUUGGUGGGGUAAUGGCCUACCAAGGCGACGACGGGUAGCCGGCCUGAGAGGGCGACCGGCCACACUGGGACUGAGACACGGCCCAGACUCCUACGGGAGGCAGCAGUGGGGAAUAUUGCACAAUGGGCGAAAGCCUGAUGCAGCGACGCCGCGUGAGGGAUGACGGCCUUCGGGUUGUAAACCUCUUUCAGCAGGGAAGAAGCGAAAGUGACGGUACCUGCAGAAGAAGCGCCGGCUAACUACGUGCCAGCAGCCGCGGUAAUACGUAGGGCGCAAGCGUUGUCCGGAAUUAUUGGGCGUAAAGAGCUCGUAGGCGGCUUGUCACGUCGGAUGUGAAAGCCCGGGGCUUAACCCCGGGUCUGCAUUCGAUACGGGCUAGCUAGAGUGUGGUAGGGGAGAUCGGAAUUCCUGGUGUAGCGGUGAAAUGCGCAGAUAUCAGGAGGAACACCGGUGGCGAAGGCGGAUCUCUGGGCCAUUACUGACGCUGAGGAGCGAAAGCGUGGGGAGCGAACAGGAUUAGAUACCCUGGUAGUCCACGCCGUAAACGUUGGGAACUAGGUGUUGGCG
rnacentral:rRNA from 1 species